AUGGGACGGCAAGGGACCGAUCAUAUCGAGCGGGUCUUUGAACUAAUUGAUCACCAGUCUGGUACUUGGGAUGUUCGGGUAGUGAGGCGAAAUUUUCUUGCACUUGAUGCCGAGUCAAUACUCAAUAUUCUGAUUCGAUUUAAUGGUGAAGAAGAUGUUCUAGCGUGGGCUCUUGAAAAAUCCAGUGAAUACACUGUGAAAUCAACCUACCGUGCUCUGGUGACUCGAGACGAGUUGCAUGCUCUAGAGGAAGGGACGGUAGUGGAGACCUCAAUGUCAGAAAAACAAUUGUGGACUGCUCUGUGGAAACUCAAGGUCUUACCUAGAGUUCGGGUCUUCGGUGGAGGGUGCUUCGGGGCAUCCUUCCAAAUUAUGCUACCAUGCACUAUCGCCAUAUCCGCACCACAUCGCUUUGUGAUCUUUGCAAAGCCAUGGACGAGGAUCUGA
rnacentral:rRNA from 1 species